ACGGAGGAAGGGGAUUACCAGGUAAAACUGCGCAACCUGGUACGUUUCCUGAGUGAUGGGGACAGGGCCAAGGUAUCCUUGCGAUUCCGCGGCCGUGAGAUGGCCCACCAGGAGCUGGGGAUGGAACUCCUCAAGCGGGUUGAAGCUGACCUGCUCGAGUACGGUUCGGUCGAACAGCAUCCUAAGAUGGAAGGACGCCAGCUGAUCAUGGUCAUCGCCCCGAAAAAGAAGAAGUAAUCAACAGGGCACGGCAGGCCUUCUGAUUAUGUUUAUCAACUGAAUGCGGAGUACCGAACAUGCCAAAGAUGAAAACUAA
rnacentral:misc_RNA from 1 species